AUUGAACGCUGGCGGCAUGCCUUACACAUGCAAGUCGAACGGCAGCACGGACUUCGGUCUGGUGGCGAGUGGCGAACGGGUGAGUAAUGUAUCGGAACGUACCUUUCAGUGGGGGAUAACGUAGCGAAAGUUACGCUAAUACCGCAUAUUCUGUGAGCAGGAAAGCCGGGGAUCGAAAGACCUUGCGCUGAUUGAGCGGCCGAUAUCAGAUUAGCUAGUUGGUGGGGUAAAGGCCUACCAAGGCGACGAUCUGUAGCGGGUCUGAGAGGAUGAUCCGCCACACUGGAACUGAGACACGGUCCAGACUCCUACGGGAGGCAGCAGUGGGGAAUUUUGGACAAUGGGGGCAACCCUGAUCCAGCCAUGCCGCGUGAGUGAAGAAGGCCUUCGGGUUGUAAAGCUCUUUCGGCCGGGAAGAAAUCGCAUAGGCUAAUACCCUGUGUGGAUGACGGUACCGGAAUAAGAAGCACCGGCUAACUACGUG
rnacentral:rRNA from 1 species